UUUACGGGACAAAUGCUUUGCAUUUGAACGUUGGCUAUGCCAACGGCUCCAAAGGAGCGAGCGUAAGCGAGUAUUGGGAGGAGAAAAUCCUUAG
rnacentral:ncRNA from 1 species